UAGUUCAGUGGUAGAGUGCAUGCCUUGCAUGCAUGAGACCUUGGGUUCAAUUCCUGA
rnacentral:tRNA from 1 species